CUCAGAGGUAGGUAGGGGAGAUCCAAGAGCACAGCAGCUCACCAGAUCAUGGUGCACCAAUACUGGUUCAGUAGGAUGCUCAUUGCCCCUAACACCAACCAGCCUUUCUGCUCACUGCCAGUCAGCCAAGCAGAGAAAGAAAUGUCUGAACAUCAGCACAGCUGCCUGGUGGGCUGAUAGAGCAGCUGCAGCCCAUGAGGCUCACUCACCCCAUGCCACAAGAGCUCCAUUGCCUCCAGCUGGUAGGGUACCAGGCUGCAAACCUCCAGGCAUCCCCACUUUGGUGGAAUAGGUCUUAAAGCUUUGUCAUCUUCCGGAAGGUUGCCAGUGAUGUACAGAUUGGAGAGAAGGCAAAUGAGCCAUGAACAGUGCAGUGGUACACAGCAGCCUGCAUCGCCUGGCGGUCUGGUUGCUGUUAAACAGCAUGGGUGUACCGCAGCCAAGUUCAAAUCCAGACAUCCAAGGAGAUGGGGCUCUGAGCAUCCUUUGGGAGAGAGACAGCCCUUCCUCCCAGGAAACUGUGGCAGAUGGGAAAAGAGGUGGAGGCCCCCACCGAACGUGAGCAGUUAGCCCAGCCCUUCUGCCAAGUGAUUAAAGGCAGGGGAAUACUGAGUGGGAGUGAGCAGGAUGUGUUACCUCUGCGUCUGGCCAAGUGAGUCCAUUUCUGGUGUCAGCAAUUCAAAAAGGAUAUUGAGGAACUGGAGGGGAUUCAAGGGAGAGAUACCAGGAUGAGAAAGAAAUAGAAAAUGUGAGGAAGACCCAAGGAGGGGAAUCUGUUUAUCUUAUCAAAAUCAGGAUAAUGCAGCCUGUGGCUGCCUACAGAUGAAACACAAAUUUAUUAGCAGAUCAUUCUUCAGCCUAACGGGAAAAUAUAGUGUCAUCCAUCAAGGAGAGUAGAAGCCACUAAUACCUUAGAACAAAAAUAAGGCACAAAUAUCUAACAAUAGCAUUAAUCAAGAAUUCACCUCAUUAGCAAUCAGAGUAGACUGCAUUUUCUUCCUGCUGAAAGAGUGUUCUGACUCUGUCAGG
ensembl:lncRNA